CCCCACAAACCCUAGCGCUCCAGAUCCGCCACCCACCUCACGCGCUCCCUCUCCCCCAUCGCCGCCGCCACCCCGCCGAUCACAUCCCUCCCGAUUCAGAUCCAUUCUCCCCGAUUCAGAUCCGACCCCGCCGCCCGCGCCCGCGCGCCACCAUCCGCUCCUCCUCGCCUCCUGGAGGACGUCUGCCGCUCUUCCUCCGCCCGUCCCGGAGGCCUUGGUCGGCGCCCUUCGCCGCAGGGCCGCCGCGCUCGUCCCGCCCUCGGCGCCGCACCUCCUUUUCCUCAUGGCCUCGCACCUCCCCGAUCCGUGUUCCUCGCACACUCACCGCUUCGCCUCUGUCUCCCACCACGCCGCACGCCCCACGCCGGAAAAGGGAAGGCGAGCCACCUCCGCCCUCCCCUCGCCCCCGCGCUGGUCCCACCGCCGAGCCCAGUUCCCCUCCCUUCUCCAUGCAGGCGCCGUCGCCAUCAAUCGAUCUCCUGAGCAAGCGACCUCCCUCCCCGAUCUACUCGUUGGCUCUGGCGGACGAGCCGGAGGGGCGAGGGGAGGGGGAGCGUGGACGCCAACUGGCGACCCACCCAAGACUCAGAUCCCGCCACCACGGCCGCCGGAGGCGGGGUUGACCCGAACGCACCGGCGCCCCACCGCCGGAGGCGACUGGCGCUCCGGGCUCCAUCCCGAAGCCCGCGCCAGGAUCGUUAGUAAGAUAUCCAGUCGCACUCCUCAUCCAGCUCCAUGUCUCCUGGUGCGGCGGCACAGUGGGAGGAUGUGAACGUGCGGCCGCCCAGGGGUGGUGGUGGUGGUGACCUGCCUGCUCGUCCCUCGUCCUCAUCACCGGCCUCUCCGAGGUCGCUGCUGGGGCAAUCUCCAUGGGCCCUUGAGGAUGGAGUAGGAGGAUGAGCAGCAGCAAAUGAGCCUGAUGGUGAAGAAGCACCUGAUGACCAGAACUCGUUCAAGAGCUCUUUUGUCCUUCCAAAACAGGGUCUUGAUGUCCCCCUUACAGAAAAAUGUUCAUACAUGUUCCUGCAUGAUGCAUGUGUGCAUGUUGGAUGGUCAUAUUCUGAUCCUCCUAGCCAUUGCACAUGCCUGUAUUCAUAUGGCCAUUGUGGAUAAUUCUAUGCUUUAAUAAUUCUCCUUAUAUAUCACUGUUUAUUAGUAAGAGAUUUCUUCUGCUUGGCCAUAACAACAAUUUCAUGUUGUUUCUUUUGUAAUUCGACGGUUGACAAUCUCAUAUAUUACACUAGCUAAUAUAUUACAACGGAAUGAUCAACUACUCUCAUGGUCGAUCCCAUCCCAUCUAGCAUUAUUUACCGUCUAUCUGUCUGUAUGUAUUUACUCUGGAAAAAAUUCAGUCUGCACAUCUGCAUCUGCAUUGCACAAGUACAGAUGCAUCCGCCCCUGCUAUUUUCUUAUUAUACAUUACAUAGAUGCAUACAUACGCCAGGCUAUUUCUGUGUCUGUCUGUCUGACCUCUCAAGGAUGCAUAUCUCGUUCGUAUGUACUGAAUUUUGUAACAAUUUCGUUUUCCUCAUACUUACAGGAUGCUGCGCUCGCUACUUACAUGUUUUCUGAUGCCACAACAAAGGACUAUAUGUGGUUUCUUCAGUGGGAUUGUUGCUGUCGCUCCUCAUGUUCAAUAACAUUUCAGCAUUGGACCUGCUAGUCACCCAAGCCAAGCCUCGCAUCGCUUCAACAAAGCGAUACUUCUUCCACUCAACCCCUACUUCGGCUCUGCUCUUUUUUCCAUCUUCUCUUAUUUAAGCUAAGAAAGAUUCUGAGUUUGCAUCCAUCUCAUUACACUAGCUAGCACAAUAUAUUAGUUAAGGCAACUCUACUACAUAUCAAUUUCCCCUACUCGAUUGGUUCUAUAUUUUUAAAGUUGUUUCGUCGUGCAUGAGCCCAACCUGAAGAAAUAUAGGCUUAUGAUGACUAUUUUCCUUCUUAAGUAAUCAUAGUUGUUGGCUUCGGUAGCUUGCUGGAUAUGCUUUAGUUAUAUAUAGAAAUGACGUGCCUUCUAUGCUUAAAUGAUUGUUUGGCUCUAUAUAAUUGUUGACAUGAAUAUCUUGACUUCCCAAACAAGUAAAGGACUGUACCUAUGCAGACUGUCCUAACAAAACUGAAAAUAAAAAUUGAAGCAUGAAAUAAGCAAUAAGUGGCUGAUUUUUAUUUGCAUGUUAAGCUGAAAGUUGUAGCCAAGGCUUAUAUAUUACGAAAUAUUGUCACACCUCUGAGCUUCUACUGUUGUUAGGGACAUCGUAGUGUGAUCUUCAUGAUUUUUCGCUUGAAGAUGUACUGAUUCAUUAGUCAAGCAGAGACCAAAGUCAUCUUUUGCUACUGCUAGCUCUAUGGAUGUUUAUUUACCUGCAACUUCUGCCAGCUCUAACUUGGUUAUAUAGCAGUUCAAUUCAGUCAAUCUGUUGGAACUAGUUUGUCGAUUACUUGUAUCCAGAUUUUAUAUCCUGCCCUAUGCCAUUGUCGACUUGCUUAGGUACAUAAUUGUUAUGUCUUGCAAUCUGGUAUUGAUGAUUGUCAAUGUAUUCAUUUAUACCUUUCUAGGUAACCUUGUAUGUGACCCAGCUGAUCUGUAUAUCAAUGCUCUGUUUCCAAUAGAUGUAUGCUGAUGCCUGAUGGCUGAUUCCUUAAAACUUCACUGUUGCAGUAGCAUUUUUCCUUAGUGCAUAGAUGUAUGAGCGAUCACUUAUGCUUGAAACCUUGCUCUCUUUCCCAGGAACCAUCGUGGUCUGUGUCACUACUGGGGCAGGAGAGGAAAGACUGUUGGUGUCUCCAGGAAGCGAUAAACUGCAUCACAAAGAUCCCCGCAUAGCUUCACUACUACUGUGUUGGUCCAUUUCCAGAAUCGUAACGAGUGUUCUUGUUUAUAUGAUUACCUUGGAUGAUGCUUUUGCUUAAGGAGAGGCUCAAGAAGAUCAAGGAGCUCCGCAUCCGAGUUUCAGCCAUCCUCUACAGCAAGGUGCUCUCGGCCAAAGGAGCAAGCAGCGCUGCUAGUUCCUUGAGGCCAGAUCGAGUAAGAUGGCAAACCAUGGCGUGUGGUGGCGUAUUUUGCUUCCGAGAACAGUACUGUUUAUUUGAAGUGAGAUGUACUCGUCUAGUGCCUGGCAAAAAAAUGAAGGAUGAAGUGUCAUGUACUGUCUAUGUUGUAGUGAGCUGUAGUAGGAGUGAAAUGAAAAUGUAUCUGCUGUUGUAUGUGUUAUUUCGCUGUAAUGUAUUGUGUACAUUUUACUUGAACAUUAAAUUCUCCAGAAAAAGUGUUCUUA